AUGAACCGGUAUGGUAUGCCAUUCAUACCCUUUGUUGGUCUUAACAAUCACCGGAAGACCACUGUUUUUGCUUGUGCCAUAGUUUCGGACGAGACCGGAGAGACAUAUGUGUGGCUGCUGGAGACUUUUUUGAGGUCCAUGUGUCAAAAGAUGCCGAAGAGUGUUAUCACGGACGCCGACGCUGCGAUGAUCAAGGCAAUUCGCCAGGUCUUGCCAGACGUGUGGCACCGUAUAUGUACGUGGCAUAUAGAAAAAAAUAUGAAGAUUCACCUCAGUCACAAGUCCUUGAAGGAGUUCCGAACUCUUCUG
rnacentral:rRNA from 1 species